rnacentral:rRNA from 1 species
UACGGGGGGGGCAAGCGUUGUUCGGAAUUACUGGGCGUAAAGCGCGCGUCGGCGGCUUUUCAAGUCAGACGUGAAAGCCCCAGGCUUAACCUGGGAAUUGCGUUUGAUACUGUUGAGCUAGAGUGUGGAAGGGGCUACUGGAAUUCCGUGUGUAGCGGUGAAAUGCGUAGAGAUCGGGAAGAACAUCGGUGGCGAAAGCGCUCUACUGGACCACAACUGACACUCAGGGACGAAAGCUAGGGGAGCGAAUGGG